rfam:Gossypium raimondii Chr07_contig_698, whole genome shotgun sequence.
AAUGAGAGAAUGACAAAUCAGAUUAUUCCUCUUGAUUUUCAGCUUUUUCCUUUGAAAAAAAUUCAAAUCCAACUAAAAAUGCUAAAAAUCAAGAGGAAAAUUUUGAUUAGUCAUUCUCUCAUU